GACGAACGCUGGCGGCGUGCUUAACACAUGCAGGUCGAACGGUGAAGCGCCUUCCUUUUUGGUGGGUGUGGAUGAGUGGCGAACGGGUGAGUAACACGUGAGUAACCUGCCCCCUUCUUCUGGAUAACCGCAUGAAAGUGUGGCUAAUACGGGAUAUUCUGGGUCUGUCGCAUGAUGGGUCUGGGAAAGAUAUUGUUUCGGUGGGGGAUGGGCUCGCGGCCUAUCAGCUUGUUGGUGGGGUGAUGGCCUACCAAGGCGGUGACGGGUAGCCGGCCUGAGAGGGGGGUGGGCCGCUCUAACGGGGAGUGACCACCGCGACGACCCCCAGCGGGAGGAGGGGGGGGGGAAUAUUGACAAAGGGGGGCAAGCCUGAGGCAGCGCGGGCGGGUGAGGAAGGGGGGCCUUUGGUUUGGCACCCUUUUUGGGCAGGAAAGGCGGCCGGCCUCUUUUGGGGGGUGGUGGCGGGAACCUGGGAAAAAACCCCGGCUAAAUUAGUG
rnacentral:rRNA from 1 species